AGGGACUUAGGUUAGCAUCCAGACCAAGAGCCUUCAAAGCUCUCAGCGGGAGUUAAAAUCUUCCAGCCCCUG
rnacentral:tRNA from 1 species